rnacentral:rRNA from 1 species
UGGGGAAUAUUGCACAAUGGGCGCAAGCCUGAUGCAGCCAUGCCGCGUGUAUGAAGAAGGCCUUCGGGUUGUAAAGUACUUUCAGUCGGGAGGAAGGUGGUAAGGUUAAUAACCUUAUCAAUUGACGUUACCGACAGAAGAAGCACCGGCUAACUCCGUGCCAGCAGCCGCGGUACUACGGAGGGUGCAAGCGUUAAUCGGAAUUACUGGGCGUAAAGCGCACGCAGGCGGUUGAUUGAGUCAGAUGUGAAAUCCCCGGGCUUAACCCGGGAAUUACAUCUGAUACUGGUCAGCUAGAGGCUUGUAGAGGGGGGUAGAAUACCAUGUGUUGCAGUGAAAUGCGUAGAGGUGUGGAGGAAUAACGGUGGCGGAGGCGGCCCCCUGGUCAAAGACUGACGCUCAGGUGCGAAAGCGUGGGGAGCAGACAGG